rnacentral:rRNA from 1 species
GACGAACGCUGGCGGCGUGCCUAAUACAUGCAAGUAGAACGCUGAAGGAGGAGCUUGCUUCUCUGGAUGAGUUGCGAACGGGUGAGUAACGCGUAGGUAACCUGCCUGGUAGCGGGGGAUAACUAUUGGAAACGAUAGCUAAUACCGCAUAAGAGUAGAUGUUGCAUGACAUUUGACUUAAAAGGUGCAAUUGCAUCACU